rnacentral:lncRNA from 1 species
AGAAGGUAUGUCUAUUGCUCAAGAGCCUACAUGGCUUAAAGCAGUCCAAGCGGAUUUGGAAUCAGACAUUCCAUGAUUUUCUCAUGAAGUUUGACCUUGAAGUAAUGGAGGCAGAUCCCUACAUCUAUCUUUCGAAGUCAGAGCCGCGACUCAUUGUGACUCUCUUUGUGGACGAUGGCUUGGCUACAUCCUUUCAACGGCCUAGUUAAAAGACCUCGUGCAUCACUUGGAACAACUUUUUGGUAUCACCCACUCAAACGCUGACCUCUAUGUUGGGCUUCACAUCCUUCGCCUCCAAACCAGUGGACACAUUUUCAUCCAUCAAGCAAUGUACCUCCGAC